rnacentral:rRNA from 1 species
GAACCUUACCAGGUCUUGACAUCCUUUGAAGCUUUUAGAGAUAGAAGUGUUCUCUUCGGAGACAAAGUGACAGGUGGUGCAUGGUCGUCGUCAACUCGUGUCGUGAGAUGUUGGGUUAAGUCCCGCAACGAGCGCAACCCUUAUUGUUAGUUGCCAGCAUUCAGUUGGGCACUCUAGCGAGACUACCGGUGACAAACCGGAGGAAGGCGGGGACGACGUCAGAUCAUCAUGCCCCUUAUGACCUGGGCUACACACGUGCUACAAUGGCGUAUACAACGAGUUGCCAACCUGCGAAGGUGAGCUAAUCUCUUAAAGUACGUCUCAGUUCGGACUGCAGUCUGCAACUCGACUGCACGAAGUCGGAAUCGCUAGUAAUCGCGGAUCAGCACGCCGCGGUGAAUACGUUCCCGGGUCUUGUACACACCGCCU